rnacentral:rRNA from 1 species
CUACGGGAGGCUGCAGUGGGGAAUAUUGGACAAUGGGGGAAACCCUGAUCCAGCAAUGCCGCGUGUGUGAAGAAGGCCUGCGGGUUGUAAAGCACUUUCGGUUGGGAGGACUGCUUCUAGCACUAAUAUUGUUGGAAGUUGACGUUACCUUCAGAAGAAGCACCGGGUAACUCCGUGCCAGUAGCCGCGGUAAUACGGAGGGUGCAAGCGUUAAUCGGAAUUACUGGGCGUAAAGCGCGCGUAGGCGGCUAGAUCAGUCGGGUGUGAAAGCCCCGGGCUUAACCUGGGAACUGCAUCCGAUACUGUCUAGCUUGAGUACAGGAGAGGAGAGUGGAAUUCCACAUGUAGCGGUGAAAUGCGUAGAUAUGUGGAGGAACACCAAUGGCGAAGGCAGCUCUCUGGCCUGAUACUGACGCUGAGGUGCGAAAGUGUGGGGAGCAAACAGGAUUAGAUACCCUUGUAGUC